rnacentral:rRNA from 1 species
UACGUAGGGGGCAAGCGUUGUCCGGAUUUAUUGGGCGUAAAGAGCGUGUAGGCGGCCUGACAAGUCUGCUGUGAAAACUCGAGGCUCAACCUCGAGAUGUCGGCGGAAACUGUCUGGCUAGAGUCCGGAAGAGGAGAGUGGAAUUCCUGGUGUAGCGGUGAAAUGCGCAGAUAUCAGGAAGAACACCUAUGGCGAAGGCAGCUCUCUGGGACGGUACUGACGCUGAGGCACGAAAGCUAGGGUAGCGAACGGG